UUUUAUGUUGCUGAGUCACAGCCUUUGGAUUGACUCAAGAUUUUGAAGACACACACAGCUUGGCCAAGUGAGAAGUGCUGGAGAGCAUCAACUCUCCCACCAGUGUUGUGCAGCAUUGCUUUGCAAAGGCUGGUGCAAGAGCAAAGUCCAGGAGUGCAUUAGGUGUUGAGGACUAGACUACAAAAGUUUCCUCUCAGCUGGUUUGCAUUCUGGCCAAACAGUCUGCCUCAGCUGCCAAUAUGGUCAAAAAUGUUGCAGCUUAAUUCAUAUUUCUGCCAAAACAAACAAACAAACCACCACCAACAAAAAACACACAAAACCCUCAAUUGAAUAAGAUUAUCAAUUAAUUGAUUGACAGUUAAAUAAUUAUCAAUUUAAAUAAAUGCCAUUUAAAUAAUGACAAUUUUGUGACGGUUUCAUUCACUGGUACUCAGCAUAUAAUUGGCACACAUUUCUGUAGGCAAAAAGGAUAAAGGACAUAAAUUACAGCUGUCACUCAUCGUGAGGGUUGUGUUUUCUCUUGUGUUGCAGUGCAGCAAAAUGAAACCCAGCUCAUGUUAAGAGCUGAGAACACGAGUGCCUUGUGUAAGUAACACAAAUCCUGGGAGAGACUGAACUCAGCUACUGUGUCAUUCAGUGUAGCUAUGAAGCUGCUUGAAGAUGAACUUGACAACACAACUGAUCCUUGUAAAGUGGUACUCUGAACCUAACUGCUUCAUAAUAUGUAAAGCCAUUGGAGUAUUCGAGCUUGCUUUCUCGUGUACUACCAUGUAUCUUGCAUAAUUAAGGAAAAGUGACACCAACUUUGUGCC
rnacentral:lncRNA from 1 species